rnacentral:lncRNA from 1 species
GAGCACACAUACCACUAUCGGCUCCUACGCACCUAGUGCGAGCCACCAGCCCUACGAGUGACCUCUGGCACGCUUCACACUUAGCAAUGCUAAAGUGCUACUGCCAACGCACUCACGGCUGAAACAAAUCUGCACUCUAUGAGCACCAACACUUGAGCGCUCUAUACGACUCUAUCGCGUGCUAUAUUAAGUCUAGCAUCAGGCAACUCUUGCCUAUGCACUCAACUACACGAGCACGACC